rnacentral:rRNA from 1 species
CCUACGGGCGGUAGCAGUGAGGAAUAUUGGUCAAUGGACGAGAGUCUGAACCAGCCAAGUAGCGUGAAGGAUGACUGCCCUAUGGGUUGUAAACUUCUUUUAUAUGGGAAUAAAAUGUUCCACGUGUGGGAUUUUGUAUGUACCAUAUGAAUAAGGAUCGGCUAACUCCGUGCCAGCAGCCGCGGUAAUACGGAGGAUCCGAGCGUUAUCCGGAUUUAUUGGGUUUAAAGGGAGCGUAGGUGGAUUGUUAAGUCAGUUGUGAAAGUUUGCGGCUCAACCGUAAAAUUGCAGUUGAAACUGGCAGUCUUGAGUACAGUAGAGGUGGGCGGAAUUCGUGGUGUAGCGGUGAAAUGCUUAGAUAUCACGAAGAACUCCGAUUGCGAAGGCAGUUCACUGGACUGCAACUGACACUGAGGCUCGAAAGUGUGGGUAUCAAACAGGAUUAGAUACCCCUGUAGUC